rnacentral:rRNA from 1 species
GAUGAACGCUGGCGGCGUGCCUAAUACAUGCAAGUCGAGCGAACGGGCGAGAAGCUUGCUUCUCUGAUGUUAGCGGCGGACGGGUGAGUAACACGUGGAUAACCUGCCUAUAAGACUGGGAUAACUUCGGGAAACCGGAGCUAAUACCGGAUAAUAUUUUGAACCGCAUGGUUCAAAAGUGAAAGACGGUCUUGCUGUCACUUAUAGAUGGAUCCGCGCUGCAUUAGCUAGUUGGUAAGGUAACGGCUUACCAAGGCAACGAUGCAUAGCCGACCUGAGAGGGUGAUCGGCCACACUGGAACUGAGACACGGUCCAGACUCCUACGGGAGGCAGCAGUAGGGAAUCUUCCGCAAUGGGCGAAAGCCUGACGGAGCAACGCCGCGUGAGUGAUGAAGGUCUUCGGAUCGUAAAACUCUGUUAUUAGGGAAGAACAUAUGUGUAAGUAACUGUGCACAUCUUGACGGUACCUAAUCAGAAAGCCACGGCUAACUACGUG